UACCUGGUUGAUCCUGCCAGUACUAUAUGCUUGUCUCAAAGCCUAAGCCAUGCA
rnacentral:ncRNA from 1 species